CUUGGACUCGCAUAUGCUCAAGUACUUCCUGACUCUGAGUGGCAGCCAUCUGAUGGCUUCUCUAAUCUUUGGCGUUCUUCUGUCUUAUUCCUCCCCAUAUGCUGUUGCGAAGGAUCCAGGGCUGGAACUAAACUCUGUUUCCUCUUUCUAUGUUAACUCCUUGUAGAAUUUAAGAACGAUGGGACUUAAAAGUUUCUUGCUAUGCUCGCCUGCCCUGCUGCUCCAACCCCCUGCCCUCCAGCCCCGCAUCCUGAACAUCUACUUGAAAUAAUGGAGUCUCCGUCCUGUGGCAUUUCUUGUUUUGUUUUCUCUUGAGACAGGUUUUGCUUAGGAGCCCAGACUUGCCUGGAACUUGCUGAAUAGCCAAGAUGGGCCUUGAAUUCACUGUUGCCAUGCCGCUGCCUCCCAAGUGAUGGGAGCACAGACUUGAAGCUGGCAUGACCACAGACGCCAUUCCCAUGGCCCCUGGUGGAGGUGAGGAACACCGUAAACACCUCAGGAGGUCUCCACGGAAGGACAUGUGAUGCUGGGCGGUGACUGCAGUGAAGCAGUAACACGGACCCGGAUGCUUGCUUUCUUCUUCCUGCUGACCCUUCUGGACUGAGGUCUUCCUGCCUGACUCUCUGAGGAAGCCUGUUUCUACACAUUGGAUCCCGGCGGUGUGAGGCAUAGCAUAGCUGGGUUGCCAUGGCCCUGCUUGCCCCGCUGAUUAUUUCUCCUUAAUUGAGCGUAAAGAAUGUGUGGAAUGUGGAGAGACCGAGGGAAGAGGGCUGAGCAGCCCCUCAGGGAUGCGGAUUCUGGACUUUGAGAUGGGAAGAGUUGCGGAUAGCCUGCUGAACCCACAUAGACUGUGUUCAUUAUGGGUCCCCAUAUUCUUCUACACAGCAUGGCGGUGAGCCCGUGUCUCCAAGCCUUCUCUGUUCCUCACUCUCCUGUUGCCAGAGUGUUCUACGUUCAUGCCAGACUGGCUGUGACUGCCUCUCUUCCCAGUCAUCUUUCUUGAUUUAAACCCAUCUUGAUUUAAAUUCCUACUUUGCUUAUUUUGCUUAUUUUGUUUUCCAAGAUGGGGCUGUCCUGCAAUUACUAGCUUUCUAGACCAGGCUGGCCUUGAACUCACAGAGAUCCACCUGCCUCUGCUGGGAUUAAAGCCGUGCACCACCACUGUU
rnacentral:lncRNA from 1 species